rnacentral:rRNA from 1 species
CAGCCGCCGCGGUAACACGUAGGUGGCAAGCGUUGUCCGGAAUUAUUGGGCGUAAAGCGCGCGCAGGCGGAUAGGUCAGUCUGUCUUAAAAGUUCGGGGCUUAACCCCGUGAUGGGAUGGAAACUGCCAAUCUAGAGUAUCGGAGAGGAAAGUGGAAUUCCUAGUGUAGCGGUGAAAUGCGUAGAUAUUAGGAAGAACACCAGUGGCGAAGGCGACUUUCUGGACGAAAACUGACGCUGAGGCGCGAAAGCCCGGGGAGCGAACGGGAUUAGAUACCCCAGUAGUCCCUGUCUCUUAUACA